rnacentral:misc_RNA from 1 species
UCAACAAUGAAACCAAAAAAAACAAAUUGAAAAUACUUCUUCAUUAAACUUCUAAUAGGACUAAGUAAUAGUUUCCAUAUUUCUAAAAACAAAAACUUCCUAGAAGUACACAAGAAUCAAUAGGACUAACACAUACUCAAGUGUUGUCAUUCAGACUCUCUCUCUCAACUCAAAUAAACCAACAGAACAUAAAGGCACAAAAAAACAGAAAAUUAUAAAGGGUUGCAAAUAUUAAAAUAGAACAAUAUAGUUUUAACCAUGCUUAGCUUGGAACUCCUUCAUGAAAGCUACCAACUUUUCAACUCCAGCCAAAGGCAUAGCAUUGUAUAUUGAAGCCCUCAUUCCACCAACAGACCUAUGUCCCUUAAGCUGCACCAUCUUCUCACCAGCAGCUGUCUUCACAAAUUCAGCUUCCAAUUCUGGUUUAGCCAAUGUAAAUGGCACAUUCAUCAAAGACCUCACUGAUUUAUCAACUGGGCACCUGUAAAAUCCAUUGCUAGAAUCAAUAGCAUCAUACAAAAUCUGAGCUUUCUUCUGAUUCUUCUUCUCAACCUCUACUAAUCCACCUUGAUCCAACAGAUCUUCAAACACAAGCCCGCACAUGUAAAUACCAUAACAAGGGGGUGUGUUAUACAACGAAUUGUUCUCAGCAUGGAUCUUGUAAUCCAACAUCACAGGUGUACUUUCCUGUGCAUUUCCAAUCAAAUCUUUCCUUAUAAUCACAAUGGUAACUCCAGAUGGACCAACAUUUUUCUGUGCACCAGCGUAAAUGAUACCAAAUUUAGAAACAUCUACUGGUUUUGAACAGAAAUUCGAGGACAUAUCAGCAACAAGAAUGGUUUUCUCGUUAAGGGGUGUUGGGUAAUCUUUGAAUUCAACCCCAUGAAUAGUUUCAUUGGCGCAUAUAUGCAAAUACUUGGCAUCUGGGUUUUGUACCAACGAAUCAAAAUUCGGGAUCUUGGUGUAUUUUUCCGAUUUACCACUCCAAAUGACAUUCGGUUUGCUGUAUUUAGCUGCUUCUUUGAAAGCCUUAUCACCCCAUGAACCGGUGACGAUGUAAUCAACGGCGUCGUCCGGUGAGCAGAUGUUGAGAGGAAUGGCGGCGAAUUGGGUGGUGGCCCCACCUUGAAGGAAAAGAACGGCGUAUUCAUCAGAGAUAUUAAGAAGGGUUCUCAGAUCUGAUUCUGCUUUUUGAAUAAUGGAAAGGAAUUCUUUUCCACGGUGGCUCAUUUCCAUAACGGACAUGCCGGAGCCCCGCCAGUUAACGAGGUCGGCUUGGGCUUUUUGUAGGACAUUUUCCGGGAGCGUGGCGGGUCCGGCAGCGAAGUUGAAGACCCGAUCUGAUGAGGUGGUAGGGGGUGUUUGGAGGGGAGUGGUAGUUGUGGAGGCGGCGGCUGAGCAGGAAAUAGACAUAGAUUUGUAUGUAGAGGUUAGGGUGGUGGUGGAGGGGAAGGUGGCGAUAUGGGUGGCGGAUUUGAGGGUUUGGUAGUUAUGGCGGGUGGUUUUGUUGUUAAGGAGGAACGAUUGGGUG